rnacentral:rRNA from 1 species
UCAAGUAAUUAAGUGCAUGUGGUGGAUGCCUUGGCAGUCAGAGGCGAUGAAAGACGUGAUAGCCUGCGAAAAGCUCCGGGGAGGCGGCAAAUAUCCUUUGAUCCGGAGAUGUCUGAAUGGGGGAACCCACCUACUUUAAGGUAGGUAUUGCAACAUGAAUACAUAGUGUUGCAAGGCGAACGAGGGGAAGUGAAACAUCUCAGUACCCUUAGGAAAAGAAAUCAAUUGAGAUUCCCUCAGUAGCGGCGAGCGAACGGGGAUCAGCCCAUUAAGUUAUGUGUGUUUUAGUGGAACGCUCUGGGAAGUGCGAACGUAGAGGGUGAUAUUCCCGUACACGAAAGGGCACACAUAAUGAUGACGAGUAGGGCGAGGCACGUGAAACCUUGUCUGAAUAUGGGGGGACCAUCCUCCAAGGCUAAAUACUCCUGACUGACCGAUAGUGAACCAGUACCGUGAGGGAAAGGCGAAAAGAACCCCUGUGAGGGGAGUGAAAUAGAUCCUGAAACCGCAUGCAUACAAGCAGUGGGAGCACCUUCGUGGUGUGACUGCGUACCUUUUGUAUAAUGGGUCAGCGACUUAUAUUCAGUAGCGAGGUUAACCGUAUAGGGGAGCCGUAGAGAAAUCGAGUCUUAAUAGGGCGUUUAGUUGCUGGGUAUAGACCCGAAACCAGGCGAUCUAUCCAUGAGCAGGUUGAAGGUUGGGUAACACUAACUGGAGGACCGAACCCACUGUCGUUGAAAAGCCAGGGGAUGACUUGUGGAUAGGGGUGAAAGGCUAAUCAAGCCUGGUGAUAGCUGGUUCUCCCCGAAAGCUAUUUAGGUAGCGCCUCGGACGAAUACCAUAGGGGGUAGAGCACUGUUUCGGCUAGGGGGUCAUCCCGACUUACCAAACCGAUGCAAACUCCGAAUACCUAUGAGUACUAUCCGGGAGACAGACUGCGGGUGCUAACGUCCGUAGUCAAGAGGAAAACAAUCCAGACCGCCAGCUAAGGCCCCAAAAUCAUAGUUAAGUGGGAAACGAUGUGGGAAGGCAUAGACAGCUAGGAGGUUGGCUUAGAAUCAGCCACCCUUUAAAGAAAGCGUAAUAGCUCACUAGUCGAGUCGGCCUGCGCGGAAGAUGUAACGGGGCUAAAACUAUGUGCCGAAGCUGCGGAUGUAUACUUUGUAUACGUGGUAGGGGAGCGUUCUGUAAGCCGAUGAAGGUGUGUUGAGAAGCAUGCUGGAGGUAUCAGAAGUGCGAAUGCUGACGUGAGUAACGACAAAACGGGUGAAAAACCCGUUCGCCGAAAGACCAAGGGUUCCAGUCCAACGUUAAUCGGGGCUGGGUGAGUCGACCCCUAAGGCGAGGCCGAAAGGCGUAGUCGAUGGGAAAAUGGUUAAUAUUCCAUUACUUCUGUGUAAUGCGAUGAGAGGACGGAGAAGGCUAAAUCAGCCUGGCGUUGGUUGUCCAGGUGAAAGGAUGUAGGCAUGUAUCUUAGGCAAAUCCGGGGUACUCUAUGCUGAGAUCUGAUAGCAAGCUGUACUUGUACAGCGAAGUGGUUGAUGCCAUGCUUCCAGGAAAAGUCUCUAAGCUUCAGUUACACAGGAAUCGUACCCGAAACCGACACAGGUGGUCAGGUCGAGUAGACCAAGGCGCUUGAGAGAACUCUGCUGAAGGAACUAGGCAAAAUGGUACCGUAACUUCGGGAGAAGGUACGCUGUUGUUGGUGAUGGAACUCGCUUCCUGAGCUGACGACAGCCGCAGAAACCAGGCCGCUGCAACUGUUUAUUAAAAACAUAGCACUCUGCAAACACGAAAGUGGACGUAUAGGGUGUGAUGCCUGCCCGGUGCUGGAAGGUUAAUUGAUGGGGUUAGCGUAAGCGAAGCUCUUGAUCGAAGCCCCAGUAAACGGCGGCCGUAACUAUAACGGUCCUAAGGUAGCGAAAUUCCUUGUCGGGUAAGUUCCGACCUGCACGAAUGGCAUAAUGAUGGCGGCGCUGUCUCCAGCAGAGGCUCAGUGAAAUCGAAAUCGCUGUGAAGAUGCAGUGUACCCGCGGCUAGACGGAAAGACCCCGUGAACCUUUACUGCAGCUUGACACUGAACUUUGACCUUACUUGUGUAGGAUAGGUGGGAGGCUUUGAAGCUGGAACGCUAGUUCCAGUGGAGCCGUCCUUGAAAUACCACCCUGGUAAUGUUGAGGUUCUAACUCUGUCCCGUGAUCCGGGACGAGGACCGUGUCUGGUGGGUAGUUUGACUGGGGCGGUCUCCUCCUAAAGAGUAACGGAGGAGUACGAAGGUGCGCUCAGCGUGGUCGGAAAUCACGCGUAGAGUAUAAAGGCAAAAGCGCGCUUAACUGCGAGACCCACAAGUCGAGCAGGUACGAAAGUAGGUCUUAGUGAUCCGGUGGUUCUGUAUGGAAGGGCCAUCGCUCAACGGAUAAAAGGUACUCUGGGGAUAACAGGCUGAUACCGCCCAAGAGUUCAUAUCGACGGCGGUGUUUGGCACCUCGAUGUCGGCUCAUCUCAUCCUGGGGCUGAAGCAGGUCCCAAGGGUAUGGCUGUUCGCCAUUUAAAGAGGUACGCGAGCUGGGUUUAGAACGUCGUGAGACAGUUCGGUCCCUAUCUACCGUGGGCGCUGGAAAUUUGAGAGGAUCUGCUCCUAGUACGAGAGGACCAGAGUGGACGAACCUCUGGUGUACCGGUUGUGACGCCAGUCGCAUCGCCGGGUAGCUAUGUUCGGAAGGGAUAACCGCUGAAAGCAUCUAAGCGGGAAGCCUACCUCAAGAUAAGAUUUCCCUAGGACUUUAUGUCCUCUAAAGAGCCGUUCGAGACUAGGACGUUGAUAGGUUGGAUGUGGAAGCAUAGUGAUAUGUGAAGCUGACCAAUACUAAUUGCUCGUGAGGCUUGACUAU